rnacentral:lncRNA from 7 species
GAAAUUGGAAAUUGGAACAAAGCUGGAGCUUCGGACCAAGCUGGACCGAAAUCUUUUGGUGGUGGGUGGUAACUGGUAAGCUUGCGACUUAUUGGCGCUGACUGCAUGUAAAUAUUGUGCCCGCGCUGUGUGAACUGUUCUGGUGCGUGUCUAGUUCGUAUCAGUUACUUGGCCAUGCGUACUCUAAACUAAAAUAAAACAUGGCUUGUGACUGUGACUAGUUAAAUGUAGCCUGUUGCUGACAGUAAUUAGGUGCCUUAACUUU